GAGAGGUUAUAUACAGUAGAGAGGUUAUAUACAGUAGAGAGGCUAUAUACAGUAGAGAGGCUAUAUACAGUAGAGAGGUUAUAUACAGUAGAGAGGUUAUAUACAGUAGAGAGGUUAUAUACAGUAGAGAGGUUAUAUACAGUAGAGAGGC